UUGCUAUACCUGGCGCUGGGAAGGGAAGCAGGUUGAUUAAUCCCUGAUCCCUGCUGCUUUAGGCACCUGUCAGAGGCAGAGGAGGCCAAAUACUCAUCCGUGUGUGAAACUGUUAUCACAUAAAAACUGGCCCUGAUGUCCUUGAGUCAGCAUCAGAAUGCAAGUGUAUCUUCACAAUGCUGACAUAACGACAUCACCCACAUGUCAUCUUUCUGAUUACAGUGUGAUUUGUUACAGAGGCCAGUUUGUGCUACCUCAAUAUGCAUAGACACAGGGGAGAAUUUAAAGAGCAGCAGCAAGGACUCUUGUACCAUGUUUCUCUAACCAUGCCAGCAUCUCACCCUCGUCCAGGACAGCACAAUAAUAAACUAGACACUCCUUUGUCUGUAAAAACAUUGUCCUUCGUUACAACAUGAAAAGCAUGUAGGCUUUCUAUAGAGGCACUGCCGCUGCCAGAGGAGGCGUGGAAGGAUGGAGGAAUCAUUCUGGAUCAUCAGUUCACCUGACAGCAAGAUAGCCAGGAAAUGAUAAAAUCUGUUUGUCUCCAUCAACCCAUUUGAUCUGAGAUGUGUUUCACAUUACUUCAUGGAUGAGAAGAUGCCUCAUUUCCUACUUUGAUCAGGGAUAUAAACAUUUCUCUUUCUUCCUGAA